CCUUGCGAGCAGAGUGAGGCGAUCUCUCUCUCUCUCUCUCUCUCUCUCUCACGCGACUCUCAUCCUGCUAUCCUGCCCUAGCAGGAUGAGACGAUCUCUCUCUCACGCGACUCUCAUUCUGCUCCUAGCUUUCCUUCUCAACAAGAUGCUGCGUUUGGUUUACUUAUAACUAAGAUGUUGGUUCUCUUCCUCAGGAGAAGAAUUUGGAAUCUCUAAUCCUCAGGAAAUGGUACGGAAGCAAAAGCAAGGAGUUUCCUUUACGGCUUGACAAAAACUGCAGAAGGUGGAUGGGCAGUAGAUGAGAUUUGGAGCGACAUAGGAGAUCUAAGUAGCUUUUGGGAUACCAAUGAUAUCAAUCAUUGGCCAUGGUCUUCAAUCCCUCUUUUGCUAACUACUAAUCAUUUUUUGCCUAGGUGUAAGUUACGUGUUAAGCCUCACAACAACUUUCUUCUUAUGCUUAAGAAUAUAGCCUAAGAUGCGAUGAAUAGGAAAUCUUUGUAACAAACUUGGAUCAUAUGUUAAACAUUUUACCCAACUAUUAAUAGUAUUUUUCUUUUCCAAUAAAAAGUUUGGUUUAAAGGCUUAUGUUA